rnacentral:rRNA from 1 species
GAAACCGGGAUAACCCCGUGAAAACGGGGCUAAUACCAGAUGAUGUCCCGAGAACUGUGGUUCUUGGGAUGAAAGGUGACCUCUUCAUGAAAGUUGCCGAUUAGGGACGGGCUCGCGUGCCAUUAGCUUGUUGGUAGGGUAAUGGCCUACCAAGGCGACGAUGGCUAGCUGGUCUGAGAGGAUGACCAGCCACACUGGAACUGAAACACGGUCCAGACUCCUACGGGAGGCAGCAGUGAGGAAUUUUGCGCAAUGGGGGAAACCCUGACGCAGUGACGCCGCGUGAGUGAAGAAGGCCUUCGGGUCGUAAAGCUCUGUCAAGUGGGAAAAAAUCCUGUCUAUUAAUAGUGGACAGGCCUGAUGGUACCACUGAAGGAAGCACCGGCUAACUCCGUGCCAGCAGCCGCGGUAAUACGGAGGGUGCAAGCGUCGUUCGGAAUUACUGGGCGUAAAGAGCGUGUAGGCGGUUUGGUAAGUCAGAUGUGAAAGCCCUGGGCUCANCCCAGGAAGUGCAUUUGAAACUGCCAUACUUGAGUAUGGGAAGGGGA